GGCACAGUGCCAGAGUGGUUAAUGGGUGAGACUCGAAUCAACACAUUUAUAAUGUUUGAUCUAAACGAUAUCUCAUGGCCUCGGCCGCGCAAGUUCGAAUCUUGUCUGUGUCG
rnacentral:tRNA from 2 species